AUUGAACGCUGGCGGAAUGCUUUACACAUGCAAGUCGAACGGCAGCACGGACUUCGGUCUGGUGGCGAGUGGCGAACGGGUGAGUAAUGUAUCGGAACGUGCCCAGUCGUGGGGGAUAACGUAGUGAAAAUUACGCUAAUACCGCAUACGAUCUAUGGAUGAAAGCGGGGGAUCGCAAGACCUCGCGCGAUUGGAGCGGCCGAUAUCAGAUUAGGUAGUUGGUGGGGUAAAGGCCCACCAAGCAAACGAUCUGUAGCUGGUCUGAGAGGACGACCAGCAAGACUGGAACUGAGACACGGUCCAGACUCCUACGGGAGGCAGCAGUGGGGAAUUUUGGACAAUGGGCGAAAGCCUGAUCCAGCCAUUCCGCGUGCAGGAUGAAGGCCCUCGGGUUGUAAACUGCUUUUGUACAGAACGAAAAGGUUUCUACUAAUACUAGGAGCUCAUGACGGUACUGUAAGAAUAAGCACCGGCUAACUACGUGCCAGCCGCCGCGGUAA
rnacentral:rRNA from 1 species